rnacentral:rRNA from 1 species
AGUGAACGCUGGCGGCGUGCCUAAUACAUGCAAGUCGAACGGAGUGGCGCACGGGUGAGUAAUAUAUAGCUAAUCUGCCCCUUGCUGGAGGACAACAGUUAGAAAUGACUGCUAAUACUCCAUAGGAAGGGAUGAGACUAUAUCGUAUCAGCUAGUCGGUGGGGUAACGGCCUACCGAGGCUAUGACGCGUAACUGGUCUGAGAGGAUGAUCAGUAAAAUUGGAAGUGAGACACGGUUGAAACUCCUAGGGGAGGGAGCAGUAGGGAAUAGUGCGCAAGGGGGGUAAACCUGACGCGGCAACGGGGCGUGGAGGAUGUUCCUUUGCGGAGCGUAAGCUGCUGUUGUUAGGGAAGCGGUACCGAACGAAUAAGCACCGGCUAACUCCGUGCCAGCAGCCGCGGUAAUUC